rnacentral:rRNA from 1 species
GACGAACGCUGGCGGCGUGCUUAACACAUGCAAGUCGAACGAAGUGGCGAACGGGUGAGUAACGCGUAAUCAACCUGCCCUUCAGAGGGGGACAACAGUUGGAAACGACUGCUAAUACCGCAUACUGAAGGAUGGGAUUGCGUCUGAUUAGCUAGUUGGAGGGGUAACGGCCCACCAAGGCGAUGAUCAGUAGCCGGUCUGAGAGGAUGAACGGCCACAAUGGGACUGAGAAACGGCCCAGACUCCUACGGGAUGCAGCAGUGGGGAAUCUUCCGCAAUUGACGAAAGUCUGACGGAGCAACGCCGCAUGGGUGAUGACGGCCUUCGGGUUGUAAAGAUCUGUUAAGCGGGACGCGGUACCGGAAUAGAAAGCCACGGCUAACUACGUGCCAGCAGCCGCGGUAAUAC